GGACACACGGGCCCUGUGCUGUCUCAGCUGAGAGGUCCCCAUCUACUGACUCACUCGCACCUGGGGCUUCUUGGCUGGUCAUCUGGAAAGGUGAUGGGUCAUGCAUCUUCCUGACACACUGUGAAGCAGGAAGAAACAGGAACAGUAGCUCUGUGUUACACGUGAGGAGCGAGAAGCACCAACAUGGGUCUUCAUUCUGGAUUUCAUCUUCAAUAUGGAUCCACAGGCUUUAAGAACAUAACGCUUUCUAAAGAGCUCCAGCAAUGGAAACAGCUGUCAGCUCUUCCACCAAAGAUGCUCAAACCAUCACGCUGUCACAUUUAAAUAUAAGAAGCCCCCAAUAUGGAAGAAGACAUCGCUUCUGGUUACCGUCUUGUGUGUGCUAGCUCUCUUUCACUAAUGUCCACUUAAAAAAUAUACAUCAUAACUUGAGCACAGCGGCACAUGCUUUUAAUCCCAGCACCUGGGAGGCAGAGGCAGGCGGGUCCCUGAGAUUUGAGGCCAACCUGGUCUACAGAGUGAGUUCCAGGACAGCAGGGGCUAUAUAGUUAAACCAUCCAUGUUUUGAAGAAACAAGCAAGUGUAUAUUAUUUACUUAUAUUACAUAUUACAUUGUGCAUAUAUAGUAUAUAUGCAUCAUAGUAAUCUGUCCAUCCCAUACAUUGAAUGAAUUGAUAUUUCAAUCUCCCAAAAAUCUGG
ensembl:lincRNA